rnacentral:misc_RNA from 1 species
UUAUCGUAUAACGGAGGUGCUAGGGCUGUCGCUAACUUUGUGCACGCCCUGGUGCUCUCUCACAAUCCAUUUCACACCCUUUUUGUGCAUCACCGUGUGGGUGCUCUCCUUUCUAAAAGGGGGGCAUUUGCACUUUUACAUAGACCCACCGCAUGUGUAGAAUGUCUUACUAUUUGCGAUAACGCGCAAUCAAUACAACUUUCAACAACGGAUCUCUUGGCUCUCGCAUCGAUGAAAAACGCAGCGAAAUGCGAUACGUAAUGUGAAUUGCAAAAUUCAGUGAAUCAUCGAAUCUUUGAACGCACCUUGCGCCCCUUGGAAUUCCGAGGGGUACACCCGUUUGAGUGUCGUGAACAUCCUUCAACCUUUCUUGGUUUCUCGAUCAAGGAAGGCUUUGGACUUUGGGGGUUUUUUCAUUGCGGGCCUCUCUUGAAGCCAGCUCCCCCUAAAGGGAUUAGUAGGGUCUGCUUUGCCGAUCCUUGACGUGAUAAGAUGUUUCUACGUCUGGGGUUUCGCACUGUCAACUUGGGGCCCUGCUUCAAACCACAGAGUUAUAACCCUUGACCUCAAAUCGGGGGAGACUACCCGCUA